rnacentral:tRNA from 1 species
CAUUAAGAAGCUAAUUUAGCAGUAACCUUUUAAGUUAAAGACUGGGAGAUCGUGUCUCCCCUUAAUGA